UUCUGUAACUUCCAGUGAUUUUCUUCCACUUCUUACCUUCUGCUUUCACAGCUACAGCUUCUGUUGAAGAUCCUCCAUCUGACACAGAGAGAGAAACAGGAACACAGAGGGAUUAUUGCUGGGAAGGUUUUAAUUCCCUCAUAAUGAGAAAACAACAGUCAGCUGAUGCAUCAAAGGCUUCCCAUCUAACCAGUUAAUGUGGGUUUGGACCAAUGUUCUGCUGGAAUUCCUGCUUCUGGUCGGGUUUUAACCACAUCACUGCUGAUUCCAGGGGGAAAUUGCAGCAGCAGGACUAGCAGUGAGACGUCCCCACAGCAUGAUGCCAACACCACCAUGUUUAAUUCAGUGAUGCAUCUGACUAAAAAGCUUUCCAGCUCUGGCAUGCAGCUCUUUGGACCCUACAAUGGCUCUUAAUAGUGUCUGAACGAUGAAAACAACCAACUAAUGGCUUGGAAUAAAGUCUAUUAAUAAAUAACAUUCUGAGGAGUUUUAAAGAA